rnacentral:lncRNA from 1 species
UGUAGUGGGUGGAUGUUUGGUAAUGAGUGGAUGUAAUGGGUGUAGUGGAUGAGUGUUUGGUAAUGAGUGAAUGUAAUGGGUGUAGUGGAUGAGUGUUUGGUAAUGGGUGGAUGUAAUGGGUGUAGUGGGUGGAUGUUUGGUAAUGAGUGGAUGUAAUGGGUGUAGUGGAUGAGUGUUUGGUAAUGCGUGGAUGUAAUGGGUGUAGUGGAUGAAUGUUUGGUAAUGGGUGGAUGUAAUGGGUGUAGUGGGUGGAUGUUUGGUAAUGAGUGGAUGUAAUGGGUGUAGUGGAUGAGUGUUUGGUAAUGAGUGGAUGUAAUGGGUGUAGUGGGUGGAUGUUUGGUAAUGAGUGGAUGUAAUGGGUGUAGUGGAUGAGUGGAUGUAAUGGGUGUAGUGG